GAUGAACGCUGGCGGCGUGCCUAAUACAUGCCAGUCGAGCGAACAGACGAGGAGCUUGCUCCUCUGACGUUAGCGGCGGACGGGUGAGUAACACGUGGAUAACCUACCUAUAAGACUGGGAUAACUUCGGGAAACCGGAGCUAAUACCGGAUAAUAUAUUGAACCGCAUGGUUCAAUAGUGAAAGACGGUUUUGCUGUCACUUCUAGAUGGAUCCGCGCCGCAUUAGCUAGUUGGUAAGGUAACGGCUUACCAAGGCAACGAUGCGUAGCCGACCGGAGAGGGGGAUCGGCCACACUGGAACUGAGACACCGUCCAGACGCCUACGGGAGGCAGCAGUAGGGAAUCUUCCGCAAUGGGCGAAAGCCUGGCGGAGCAACGCCGCGUGAGUGAUGAAGGUCUUCGGAUCGUAAAACUCUGUUAUUAGGGAAGAACAAAUGUGUAAGUAACUAUGCACGUCUUGACGGUACCUAAUCAGAAAGCCACGGCUAGCUACGUG
rnacentral:rRNA from 1 species